CAGAGACCUGGGCCCACAGCAGCAGGUUAAAACCAGCCCUUACCCACUGAGAGCCCCACAUUGCUGCCCAGGCCCCUAUUGCCCCUGCCAGAUGAACAGAGAGGCCCCAGAGAUCUACGCAUCUCCAAGGUCCUCGGCAUGUGUCCCCCAGCUUCCUUAUAGACUCUGUGAAAGGGACCAGUGACCCAUGUCCAGCUGUGUUUUGGGAACUAACAGCUUACAAGGCCUGUGUUCCCAGCAUGUUCUCUCCUCCCUCGUGGCCCUCCUCCACCCUCAGCUCAGGGCUGGGCACUCACGAGGAUUUGUCCACCUCCUGUCGAAUCUUUUUGACGGACAACUGGAUACUGAAUCGGAUGCUGUUCAAAAUGUUCUUGAACCUCAGGUUUCAGCAGGAAGUCUGGAUAGCCAACCAUGACCAUCAUGUACUGGAGCUGCAGCACCAACAUCAGGACCACCAUCAGCUCAUCUAUUAUCCUUGCCUUUGUGGAAUUCAUCGUCAUCUCUACUAUGGGCAUCGAAAUCACAUCAUUGCUAUCCCAUCACCAGUGCUGGCAAUGCCACCAUCACCAUCAGGACCCACGUGGUACCCAGCACUAUCUGAUCUCAUCGAAUCCUCAGAGUAAGACCUCCGUGGUCUAAUUUCUCAGAUGCUCACCAAGCCGCAGAAGUCCAGACCACUGUAGACCCGGAUUGUCUCCUCUCCUCCUCAGAAGCACGGGCCUGUAAGCCUCACCCCUUGCUAGGCCCUGGAGGAACAGAAACAGAGCUAUAUCUGUCCCCAGCCUUUUUACCGAAAGCUGGAGCCACAGUCUGAGGACCCAAAGCAUGGGAGGCUGAGGCUGGAGGAGUGAGGGGGCAGGGGCGUGCUGCAACUAAAUUUGCUCAUCUAGCCUGUCAGUCCCUUAAUCUGGUCCCAGAGGAACAGCGCAGAGGCUUCACUCUGGAUGACAAACGAGGAGGGGAAAGGCCUGCCCUGCCUGGACGCUCGAUCCCACACUGUCCGUGUAACCAACUUGAACCCUGGAGCAAGUCACAGCAAGUAUCAUCUCUCUCUUCAGUGGGGCCUCCCAGUGGUUCCCCUUCAGAUCUGGGAAAGCAUCCAUCUCUCUGAGCCUCAGUGUACUGGUCUUUAAAAUGGGCCCCCUAUGAAGCUCAGUGAAGUAAGCAGUAUAAAUAAAUGAUUUAUGAGGUCACAGGGGUCACCCGGAAUUCCAGCCCUCUGCUUUGAUGCCCUCAGUCUGUUCUCCACGCCUGUCAGGGCACAUUCGUGCAGGAGAGCCAAAGCUGGGAGCCUCCGGAGCACGGAUGGCCAGGCAAAACUAAAAAGGCCAGGGUGAGGUGGAGGGGGUCAGGGAUGAGGAAGGGUGGAGUAGGGGGAAGGAGGAAGGUGGCGCUUAUCCUAGGUCUAGGAUAGAGUGAAGACCUAGGGACCAGCUACCACUAUUGAUCCGUACUGCCUGUUGCCCCAGCCCAGCAUAUCCCAGCUUCCUGGGUGCAACCUAUUUGGUGCAGUCCUCUGAUGUCACAUAGUCACAGCCCUUAAGACUUGUUGAACAAGGCAUCGUGCCAGGAUUGAGGAUGCAUCUCAAUGGGCAGAGUGGUUGCCAGCAUGCUCAAAGCCCUGGGUUCUCCGGUUCCUCAUAAAACGAAUGUGGUGGUGCGUAACUGUUAGCCUCAAUACUCCCCGAGACAGAGGAAAACCAGAAAAUGUCUCCUACAACUCAGCAAGCUGCCCUCCACCCCCGCAGAGCUACACUUGACCCGGAAGAGGGUGAUUUGGGGAUAAAGUCCAGUGUUGGGGUACUGGAGCGCAGAAAAGGAGUCCCAGGUCUCAAAACAGAGAAGAUGCCCCCUUCUGCUGCGUAGGUCUGAAGGAGUCUCCUGAAGGGGAGGUGGCAUUGAAGGAGGGGCUUCUGAAACGCACCCCACCUCCCACCUCCCGUUCUGUGUGCCUUAAGGCACAGGAUUUCCCAAGCCCUCGUUAUAGGUCUGCAUCUCUCACAAAGAGCCACCAGGAGGCGCCCCGCGCCUACAAAUCCCCCUACGGCCGCCUACAGGAGGAAGGUCUGUGGCGGGAGGAUCAAAGCCUCUGAGCAACCCAGGGUCCCUGAGCCCCUCAGGGCGACCCUUUCCUUCUCCUACCCAGUGGUUCCAGGCCCGCCGCCAGGCUUCCACAGCGGAGUGGGCUACAGUGUGGCGAAGGUCCCACCACUGAGCCUGUCAGGCCAGGUUUCCACUCUUUCCCUGAGUCCCCUAUCUGCGGAAGUCUCAGCCUCUUGGCAAGCACAAAGAUCACUGCUGGUCAGGGUCUGGUUUGGUCCGUUCUGGUCAUGGCCACAGCUGCUGAGCCUCAGCCCAUCCCAGGCUUCCAUGGACCAACUGUUCCCAUGCUCUCUUCGUUCAGACUCAUAAGAUGCGUUAAUGCUUAGGCCUGGGCCACCCGGGCUGGAGGUCAGAGCCUGCAAAGAGAACAGUCUCUGCAGACCAGGACUCCUGGCUUUCUUAAUCUUGAGUAGAGAUUCCACCUGGAAACCAUCCGGGACAAACAGCUCCCGAAUUUAAAAAAAAAAAAAAGUUACAUUUUUAGUUGUGUUUGUUUUGUUGGCUUUUGCUUUUAUCUGUGAACUUAAGUGUGUACAGGGCAGAGGACAAGUUGCAGAUGUCAAUUCUUUCCUUUGACCAUGUAGAGCUCAGGGAUUGAAGUCUGGUGCUUGGGCUUGGAGGCAGUUAUGGUUAUGCACUCAGCCAUUUAUCCAGCCCUUUAAAAUGUAGGUUUGUUUGUUUGUUUGUUUGUUUUUUAAAAUAUUUGUAAGCUGGGUGUGGUGGGGGCUGGAGAGAUGGCUCAGCCGUUAAGAGUACUGACCACUCUUCCGAAGGUCCUGAGUUCAAAUCCCAGCAACCACAUGGUGGCUCACAACCAUCCAUAAUGAGAUCUGACGCCCCCUCCUGGGGUGUCUGAAGACAGUGUACUUACAUACAAUAAAUAAAUAAAUAAAUAAAUAAAUAUGCAGAAAGUGCU